rnacentral:misc_RNA from 1 species
GAAAUGCGAUAAGUAAUGUGAAUUGCAGAAUUCAGUGAAUCAUCGAAUCUUUGAACGCACCUUGCGCUCCUUGGUAUUCCUUGGAGCAUGCCUGUUUGAGUAUCAUGAAAUCUUCAAAGUAAAUCUUUUGUUAACUCAAUUGGUUUCUACUUUGGUAUUGGAGGUCUUUGCAGCUUCACACCUCCUCCUCUUUGUUCAUUAGCUGGAUCUCAGUGUUAUGCUUGGUUCCACUCGGCGUGAUAAGUUAUCUAUCGCUGAGGACACUGUAAAAGGUGGCCAAGGUAAAUGCAGAUGAACCGCUUCUAAUAGUCCAUUGACUUGGACAAUACUUUUAUGAUCUGAUCUCAAAUCAGGUAGGACUACCCGCUGAACUUAAGC